rnacentral:rRNA from 1 species
AGAGUUUGAUCCUGGCUCAGGAUGAACGCUGACAGAAUGCUUAACACAUGCAAGUCGAUGACUAAGUAUAGCUUGCUAUACGAGGUCAUGGCGGACGGGUGAGUAACGUGUAAAGAACUUACCUUAUAGACUGGGAUAACAGAUAGAAAUGUCUGAUAAUACUAGAUACUAUUACACUGUGGCAUCACAGAGUAAUGAAAGAAUACGCUAUAAGAGAGCUUUGCAUCCUAUUAGCUAGUUGGUAAGGUAAAGGCUUACCAAGGCGAUGAUAGGUAGCCGGCCUGAGAGGGUGGACGGCCACAAGGGGACUGAGAUACGGCCCUUACUCCUACGGGAGGCAGCAGUGGGGAAUAUUGGACAAUGGGGGCAACCCUGAUCCAGCAAUUCUGUGUGCACGAAGAAGGUUUUCGGAUUGUAAAGUGCUUUCAGCAGGGAAGAAGAGAAUGACGGUACCUGCAGAAGAAGCGACGGCUAAAUACGUGCCAGCAGCCGCGGUAAUACGUAUGUCGCAAGCGUUAUCCGGAAUUAUUGGGCUUAAAGGGCAUCUAGGCGGUAUAACAAGUUGAAGGUGAAAAGCUGUAGCUCAACUAUAGUCUUGCCUACAAAACUGUAAUACUAGAGUACUGGAAAGGUGGGUGGAACUACACGAGUAGAGGUGAAAUUCGUAGAUAUGUGUAGGAAUGCCGAUGAUGAAGAUAACUCACUGGACAGAAACUGACGCUGAAGUGCGAAAGCUAGGGGAGCAAACAGGAUUAGAUACCCUGGUAGUCCUAGCUGUAAACGAUGAUUACUGGGUG